rnacentral:rRNA from 1 species
GACGAACGCUGGCGGCGUGCUUAACACAUGCAAGUCGAACGGAAAGGCCCUGCUUUUGUGGGGUGCUCGAGUGGCGAACGGGUGAGUAACACGUGAGUAACCUGCCCUUGACUUUGGGAUAACUUCAGGAAACUGGGGCUAAUACCGGAUAGGAGCUCCUGCUGCAUGGUGGGGGUUGGAAAGUUUCGGCGGUUGGGGAUGGACUCGCGGCUUAUCAGCUUGUUGGUGGGGUAGUGGCUUACCAAGGCUUUGACGGGUAGCCGGCCUGAGAGGGUGACCGGCCACAUUGGGGCUGAAGAACGGCCCAGCCCCCUAAGGGGGGGAGGAGUGGGGAAAUUUGCAACAGGGGGGGAAGCCUGAUGCAGCAACGCCGGGUGGGGGGUGAGGGCCUUGGGGUUGAAAACCGCUUUCGCCUGGGAAGAAGGGUGGGUGGCGGUAAUGGGUAAAGAAGAACCGGCAAACUACGU